rnacentral:misc_RNA from 1 species
AGAUCAACUACAUUCAAACAAUAACUGUUCAAAUCUACUCACAAAUCCAGCAGUGACACAAUCCAGGUGCUUCAACAAACCUGUAACACAUGACAUGGUUUACAAACACACAUUCAUAUAAAGUCUCUUUUGAUUUAAUGAACAAACACUGAACUGUACAACCACUUACCACUGUUGAUCCUCAGUAACACUGGUGGAACAGCUUAGAGGUUUCUUAGGUCCACAUGAAGUACAACCUGGUAGACACAAUAACACCUGAAACACAUGAAGGACAUACAGUAACCAGGACUUAUGGCUCACCUGGAGGAACACAUACCUACUUGCUGCUAAACAACAAU